rnacentral:rRNA from 1 species
UUCCGGUUGAUCCUGCCGGACCUUACUGCUAUCGGGGUGGGACUAAGACAUGCGAGUCGAGCGUCUCUAGCUAUGUUGAGACGCGGCAGACGGCUCAGUAACACGUGGCUAACCUACCCUCAGGACGAGGACAAACCCGGGAAACUGGGGCUAAUACUCGAUAGGUGAGUAUGUCUGGAAUGAUUUCUCACUCAAAGGGCUUUAGAAACAUGCUUCUAAAGUCGCCUGGGGAUGGGGCCGCGUCCGAUCAGGUUGUUGGUGAGGUAAUGGCUCACCAAGCCUAUAACCGGUACGGGCCGUGAGAGCGGUAGCCCGGAGAUGGGUACUGAGACAAGGACCCAGGCCCUACGGGGCGCAGCAGUCGCGAAAACUCCGCAAUGCACGAAAGUGUGACGGGGCUACCCCGAGUGCCAUCCGCUGAGGAUGGCUUUUCUUUGGUGCAACUAGCCGGGGGAAUAAGGAGAGGGCAAGACUGGUGUCAGCCGCCGCGGUAAUACCAGCUCUCCGAGUGGUAGGGAUGAUUAUUGGGCUUAAAGCGUCCGUAGCCGGCUUAGCAAGUCUCCUGUUAAAUUCAGCGACCUAAUCGUUGAGCCGCGGGAGAUACUACUAGGCUAGGAGGCGGGAGAGGUCGACGGUACUUCUGGGGUAGGGGUGAAAUCCUAUAAUCCCGGGAGGACCACCAGUGGCGAAGGCUGUUGACUAGAACGCGCUCGACGGUGAGGGACGAAAGCUGGGGGAGCGAACCGGAUUAGAUACCCGGGUAGUCCCAGCCGUAAACGAUGCGGGCUAGGUGUUGGGGUGGCUACGUGCCACUUCAGUGCCGCAGGAAAGCCAUUAAGCCCCGCCCGCCUGGGGGAGUACGGCCGCAAGGCUGAAACUUAAAGGAAUUGGCGGGGGGAGCACCACAAGCGUGAAGCUUGCGGUCCAAUGGCAUCACGCCGGU